CAAACCCAGACUGGCGUCUGGAAGGGCCUGGGGGUGUGUGCACAUCGGCGAGACCGAAAGCGCCCAGAACCUCCGCUUCCAGCGCCCGGGGGCGUCGUGGCUUUGGUCGAAACGGCGUCGGCGUCUUUUUACUGAUGCGACUCCCACAGCUCUUCUAACCGGAGAACCAGGUAGAGACCUGUGGCUGCCUUGUUCACUGCUGUAGACGGAAGCCAGGUGUGCAGAACGGUGCCUGGCGCAUAGUAGGUGUUCAAGGGAUAGGGGUGUGAUGCUGACACGGAGUGAAGGGAGGCCGGAGAUGCUGCCAAACGACCUGCAAUGCCCAGGACAGCCGGGACCACGGAGAAGGAUCCUGCCCAUCUGCUAGCUGAGAUCCUGGCCCGGAGGCCCACGUCCCGGGCGAAUCGCCUCGGGUCGUCCCGCUGUGCGCUGGCGCCACAUGGUGGCUGCACGAGACACUGCAGCAGCCCUCGAAGGAGCCACGACUUCAGAAAUGACCCCUCCAGUAUUCUCGCAAUAAUACCAACCACAGCGAUCGCCCGCCGCCUGGCGCAGGGCUCACUGUGUGCCAGGUCAAAGCGAGAUGUCUUACUUGGGAUAAAUCCAAAUGCCACAUCCACACUAACAGGCAACUAAGAAUGGACGCACCUGAAAUUGAACUGAUGCUCUCCCACCCCGCAACUCCCAGCCUGUUCCACCCUCCCAGAUGCCCAAUGUUCACCCCCUGCUCAGAACUCCUCCCCCCACCCCACCCCAUGGCUCAGUGAAAGCAAAAGUACCUAAAUGGCCCGCAAGGAUUGAAACACACUCCAGCCCUCCUUCUCUCUCUGCACUCUAUUUUUUAUAUCCAGCAAGACACCACGUGACAUACUUUACUCAUUUAUCUUGCUUAUUAUCCAUCUUCUCCAUGUGAACAGCUCCCUGAGGGCAGGAGCUGUGUCUGUUUGGUCACUGCUCUCUUCCCAGCAUCCAACACUGUGCCUGGCACACAAUAGGUGUUCAAUUGGUUGAAUAAAUGGAUGGAUGAUCCAUACAACACCCCCAGCUCCCACUAGAAUUUUGUGGAUUCUAGCCUCACCUCCACCACCAAGGCUGCUCAACAUUGGACUGGUUAGUUAACCUCUCUUGGCCUCAGCUUCCUAACAGGAAUUAAAAAUAGUACCACCUCCUUGUGCUCUGAGAGCAUUAAAUGUGUUAAUACACGUGUUUAGAAUAGUAUGUCAUGCCUAAUAGGGGCUCAAUAGGGUCCGUGCCUUACCUCAGUCAUCUUUCUCAGCCUUCUUCCUCCUGCCCACCCUCCUCCACUUCUUAAGCCCCUGACUCGUGUCUCAGUCAUCUUCUUUAGUCUUUUGCACUUAGUAGGUGCUUAUUAAAUGCUGGCAUUGCAGGAAGGACAUUGAUGGUUGAGGAGUGCUUCCUGUUCUCUACAUGUUGUGAGUCAGACUCUCCUACCCCAGUUUACUGGUGAUGAAACCCAGGUUUCCACUGGCAGAGGCAGGACCUGCCCCUCCAAGCUAGCCAGGUGACUUCCUUCCAGCCCGCUCUGGCGGCAGAGGGUCAGGAGCAGGUGAGAGCAGAGGGGUGGGCUGUCAUUCUGCAGAAUGACCAGCAGGCGGCAGCAGAGAUCUAGGACGACUCUGUCUCAGGAAACCUGGGUCUGCACAGUCCUGAGGGUGAACACCUUAAAUUUUGCAGGCUGGGCACCUCACAUGCUUCACCCUAGUCCAGACCCUGGUCUGGGAGGUCCCACCCUACCAGGAGAUGCCUUUCUCCUGCCCUGGCUCAAACACAAUGCUGUCCUGGGCUCUGUGCUAAGGACUUGCCACGUGUUAGCUCAUUUAAUCUGCACAACAACCAGAACAAGGCAGGUGCUGUUAUUGCCUCAUUAGUCAGAGAUGGUAGCUGAGGGUACAUUGCAUGUUGGGUGUAUGGAGGCAGACCUCAUGCCUUUGGAUUCUCUGCCAUGACUGUAUUACACAUUUGCAUGGU